rnacentral:tRNA from 1 species
GUGCCGGUAGCUCAGCUGGUAGAGCAGGGGCCUUUUAAGCCCAAGGUCGCGGGUUCGAGCCCCGCCCGGCACACCA